GACGAACGCUGGCGGCGUGCCUAAUACAUGCAAGUUGAGCGAUGAAGCUUGGUGCUUGCACCAAUUUGAAGAGCAGCGAACGGGUGAGUAACGCGUGGGGAAUCUGCCUUUGAGCGGGGGACAACAUUUGGAAACGAAUGCUAAUACCGCAUAACAACUUUAAACAUAAGUUUUAAGUUUGAAAGAUGCCAUUGCAUCACUCAAAGAUGAUCCCGCGUUGUAUUAGCUAGUUGGUGAGGUAAAGGCUCACCAAGGCGAUGAUACAUAGCCGACCUGAGAGGGUGAUCGGCCACAUUGGGACUGAGACACGGCCCAAACUCCUACGGGAGGCAGCAGUAGGGAAUCUUCGGCAAUGGACGAAAGUCUGACCGAGCAACGCCGCGUGAGUGAAGAAGGUUUUCGGAUCGUAAAACUCGGUUGGUAGAGAAGAACGUUGGUGAGAGUGGAAAGCUCAUCAAGUGACGGUAACUACCCAGAAAGGGACGGCUAACUACGUG
rnacentral:rRNA from 1 species